AGAGUUUGAUCCUGGCUCAGGAUGAACGCUAGCUACAGGCUUAACACAUGCAAGUCGAGGGGGAAACGACAUCGAAAGCUUGCUUUUGAUGGGGCGUCGACCGGCGCACGGGUGAGUAACGCGUAUCCAACCUGCCCACCACUUGGGGAUAACCUUGCGAAAGUAAGACUAAUACCCAAUGACGUCUCUAGAAGACAUCUGAAAGGGAUUAAAGAUUUAUCGGUGAUGGAUGGGGAUGCGUCUGAUUAGCUUGUUGGCGGGGUAACGGCCACCAAGGCUACGAUCAGUAGGGGUUCUGAGAGGAAGGUCCCCCANAUUGGAACUGAGACACGGUCCAAACUCCUACGGGGAGCA
rnacentral:rRNA from 1 species